rnacentral:misc_RNA from 1 species
UUAACUAUUAUAUAGUACUCAGACAUCACUAAACAAACGAGUUUGGGUCCUCUGGCAGGCGCAGUCAGCGUGAGCCGACGCCCCGAGGGGCGGCCUGCCAAAGCAACAAAGGUAUGUAUACACGGUUUAGAAUUACCCAUUUCAAAAAACGGGGCGUUCUUUAAUGAUCCUUCCGCAGGUUCACCUACGGAAA